UGUGCCAGCAGCCGCGGUAAUACGUAGGGUGCGAGCGUUGUCCGGAAUUAUUGGGCGUAAAGAGCUUGUAGGCGGUUUGUCGCGUCUGCUGUGAAAGCCCGGGGCUUAACCCCGGGUCUGCAGUGGGUACGGGCAGGCUAGAGUGUGGUAGGGGAGACUGGAAUUCCUGGUGUAGCGGUGGAAUGCGCAGAUAUCAGGAGGAACACCGAUGGCGAAGGCAGGUCUCUGGGCCACUACUGACGCUGAGAAGCGAAAGCGUGGGGAGCGAAC
rnacentral:rRNA from 1 species